rnacentral:rRNA from 1 species
GACGUAGGGACCGAGCGUUGUCCGGAUUCAUUGGGCGUAAAGAGCUCGUAGGCGGCUGUUCAAGUCGAACGUGAAAACUCGGAGCUCAACUCCGAGCCUGCGUUCGAGACUGGAUGGCUAGAGUCUGGUAGGGGGAUCUGGAAUUCCUGGUGUGAGCGGUGAAAUGCGCAGAUAUCAGGAGGAACACCGGUGGCGAAGGCGGGUCUCUGGGCCGAUACUGACGCUGAGGAGCGAAAGCGUGGGGAGCGAACAGG